AAGGCCUUAGUUUUAAUUAAAACAUUUGGGUUGCAUCCAGAAGAUGUGAUUAGAGUUUCACAGGUUUUA
rnacentral:tRNA from 1 species